UACGAGGGGUCCUAGCGUUGUUCGGAAUCAUUGGGCGUAAAGGGUGCGUAGGUGGCUAUUCAAGUCAGUUGUGAAAUCCCCGGGCUUAACCCGGGAAGUGCUUCUGAUACUGUUUAGCUUGAGUACUGGAGAAGAUAGUAGAAUUCCAGGUGUAGUGGUGAAAUACGUAGAUAUCUGGAGGAAUACCGGUGGCGAAGGCGGCUAUCUGGCCAUGUACUGACACUGAAGCACGAAAGCAUGGGUAGCAAACAGG
rnacentral:rRNA from 1 species